rnacentral:rRNA from 1 species
AUUGAACGCUGGCGGCAGGCCUAACACAUGCAAGUCGAGCGGAUGAAGGGAGCUUGCUCCUGGAUUCAGCGGCGGACGGGUGAGUAAUGCCUAGGAAUCUGCCUGGUAGUGGGGGAUAACGUCCGGAAACGGGCGCUAAUACCGCAUACGUCCUGAGGGAGAAAGUGGGGGAUCUUCGGACCUCACGCUAUCAGAUGAGCCUAGGUCGGAUUAGCUAGUUGGUGGGGUAAAGGCCUACCAAGGCGACGAUCCGUAACUGGUCUGAGAGGAUGAUCAGUCACACUGGGACUGAGCGACGGUCCUGGGUCCUACGGGAGGCAGCAGUGGGGAAUAUUGGACGAUGGGCGGAAGCCUGAUCCAGCCAUGCCGCGUGUGUGAAGAAGGUCUUCGGAUUGUAAAGCACUUUAAGUUGGGAGGAAGGGCAGUAAGUUAAUACCUUGCUGUGUUGACGUUACCAACAGAAUAAGCACCGGCUAACUUCGUG